UACGUAGGGGGCAAGCGUUAUCCGGAUUUACUGGGUGUAAAGGGAGCGCAGGCGGCGCGUUAAGCCUGGUGUGAAAGCCCGCGGCCCAACCGCGGGACUGCAUUGGGAACUGGCGCGCUGGAGUGCCGGAGGGGUAGGCGGAAUUCCUAGUGUAGCGGUGAAAUGCGUAGAUAUUAGGAGGAACACCAGUGGCGAAGGCGGCCUGCUGGGCUUUUACUGACGCUGAGGCUCGAAAGUGUGGGGAGCAAACAGG
rnacentral:rRNA from 1 species